GGUGAUUGUAGCUCAGCUGGUUAGAGCGCUAGAUUGUGGAUCUAGAGGUCACGGGUUCAAUCCCCGUCAUUCACCC
rnacentral:tRNA from 1 species